rnacentral:lncRNA from 1 species
UGGGGUGGGGUUUGUUAUUCCACCUAUUCCAACCAAACACUAUUUUUUAUUAUUCUGAGCUAACUCCAACCCCGAAUCAAACAGAAAAUACUCUAACUCCACCUUAACCCUGAACUUAACCCUAUUCAUAGAAUAACUAGUUUUUUCUUAACCCCAAACCAAAUGGUAGCAUAGAGUUGAGCUCCUAUAUUUUUAAAAGUAUCAAGUGAUUGUUGGGCCCUCAGAUUAAGGAAUUUGCAAUUAGGAUGAUAAUGGUCUCCUAGAAUUUAGCGAAUGGUUGGGUAAAUAAUAUAAUCCAACGGAUAAAAAUAGUCAAAGGAAUAGAUCUAACGGCGAAAAAUUUACAAGUACCAAAUGCCAUACCUAGACUCACACAUCUUAUAUACACCAAGCCGAUAAUAUUAUGCCAUGUAAAAUAGUAAAUAGUUCAAUAAAAGGAUAAUAUGACAAUACUAUGUUAAAAAUAAUGACGAUAAAAAAUUAUCAUACAUUUAUGUAAUAUACAGAUAUUUAAUCGAAUAUUAUUAUUUUUAUAUAAAAUAAUUGGAGUAGA